GAUGAGAACGUAGUGAAAUGCGAUAAGUAAUGCGAAUUGCAGAAUUUCCGUGAGUCAUCGAAUCUUUGAACGCACAUUGCGCCCACUGGUAUUCCGGUGGGCAUGCCUGUUCGAGCGUCAUUAUCCUCCCUCAAACCCCGGGUUUGGUGUUGGACCCAAGUUGUGUGAACAACUGGUCUUAAAGACAAUGACGGCGUCCGUGGGACCCUCGGUGCAACGAGCUUUUAGGAGCACGCAUCGAGUUGCAAGGACCUUCCGGGCCGGUCUCCUUUACUAUUUUACAAGGUUGACCUCGGAUCAGGUAGGAAUACCCGCUGAACUUAAGCAUAUCAAUAAGCGGAGGA
rnacentral:misc_RNA from 1 species